rnacentral:tRNA from 1 species
GCCGUCUUAGCUCAGUUGGUAGAGCGCGUCCAUGGUAAGGACGAGGUCAUCGGUUCAAUCCCGAUAGACGGCUCCA